CCUACGGGAGGCUGCAGUGGGGAAUAUUGGACAAUGGGCGAAAGCCUGAUCCAGCCAUGCCGCGUGUGUGAAGAAGGCCUUCGGGUUGUAAAGCACUUUCAGUGGGGAAGAAAGCCUUGGGGCUAAUACCCUCGAGGAAGGACAUCACCCACAGAAGAAGCACCGGCUAACUCCGUGCCAGCAGCCGCGGUAAUACGGAGGGUGCGAGCGUUAAUCGGAAUUACUGGGCGUAAAGCGCGCGUAGGCGGUCUGAUAAGCCGGUUGUGAAAGCCCCGGGCUCAACCUGGGAACGGCAUCCGGAACUGUCAGGCUAGAGUGCGGGAGAGGAAGGUAGAAUUCCCGGUGUAGCGGUGAAAUGCGUAGAGAUCGGGAGGAAUACCAGUGGCGAAGGCGGCCUUCUGGACUGACACUGACGCUGAGGUGCGAAAGCGUGGGUAGCAAACAGGAUUAGAUACCCCAGUAGUC
rnacentral:rRNA from 1 species